rnacentral:hammerhead_ribozyme from 1 species
GCACUGCUGAUGAGUCUUAAACAGGACGAAACAACUGUCCAGUGC